GAGAGUUCUGCUGUGUGUGUCAGUCAAACAGAGCAGAGUGUUAUAAUUUAAUUCGCAAUAGAAAGGUGUAUAAAAGUAUCUGACAGAUACACUUUCAGUUUGUUUAGUUAAGCCAAAGACAACGAACGGACGGAUGCAAAACGACGGCUGGCCGCGACAAUGAAUUGUUUGUUGUAUGUUGUGCGAGAUAUUACAGAUGCAGAUGUAUAACAACAGCAACAACCAAAAAUAAUAAUAAUAAUAAUAAAAGAAGAAGAAAUUUCCAACAACAAAUCUAAAGCAAAGAAAGAAGAGGUUGUGACAAACAAACCAAAAAAAAAAAAAAAAAAAGCAACAACACAAAACCAUAAUAAAAAAUUUAAGUAUCUCAUAGAUACUUCUUCAUACAAUCAUA